rnacentral:tRNA from 1 species
GGUUAUGGCUCAGUGGUAGACCACACGCCUACCAUGCAUGAGACACUGGGUUCGAACCUCAGCACCA